rnacentral:lncRNA from 10 species
UCCAACCGUGAGUUCCGUUUCAUGAGGAGCACCCAUUAACAUGUCUCAGGUGCAUUUGAUAGGAAAAACUCAGCAAUUCCUUUGAAAGUUACAUGAGAAUAUCCACAAAGAUGUGAGGAUCAAGAAAUACCCAAAGGUUGAGUUGAGUAAUAGGAAAAUCCCUGAACACAGAGCAAAAGAAGGUGCUUCUAAGUCUAACAUUGUCCUGGAGGGAGCAAUCACUGCAGAAGGUGUUG